UUACUAAAAUAACGUACUAAAAACAACACGACUAGAAAAGGAAAACCUAAUUUCUCUCCUUUGUUUCAUAUUGUUUAGCUUUUCUCGAUCCUCUUCCCCAAUCUCUCUUAUUUGUCUUCUUUAAUUAGAUCCUUGUUUCUGGUUCUUCUUUAAUUUUCUUCAUUGUUUCUCUCCGACGUUCAAUUCCUCGAUUCAGUUCACCUGAGAAUACACGUUGUGGAUCUGCUAAUCCCCGUUGAAAAUUCGGAGACAUUUGUGGUCAGCGGCGGAGGUUAAGAGAGAGAAGGAGUGCUAAGAAAGUUGAAGGUUCGUCAACUCCGGCGAAUCGACGAGAUCCGUACGAGGUUCUUUGUGUAUCAAAAGACGCUAACGAUCAGAUCUGUGGGUAAUCGUGGUGGAGAGCAUGACUUUUUGGCUUGUUUUCGGCGGAGGAUUUGGCUGGACUUAGUGUCUUGCUUAGUGAUUGGCGAUGGUCGCUGGGUCUCUUGAUUUAUGGCUCCUUUAAACGUGUCAAGGGUUGAGAGAUGAAGUUAAAGAUGUGGCUAUUUGACUGACUCUGAUUUGUGUUUAGAUCUAUGUUUUUCGUUACUAUGACCAAAGUUGAGAUGCUUUAAGGACCUGCAAGUAUAUGACUCUUGUUGUAGCAGCGACAGCGUGACAUUGAGUUCAAGAGAAUCUGCUAAUGAGCUGAGAUAGAGUUCUUCAAGAAAAUAUCAAGAAAGAGGAUGUUGUAAAAGAGCAGUUGUCUUGCGACUUCAAGGCAAAUCACAACACUCCACUUAGCAUCUGAAGAACACAAGGAGAACCCACAAGUUGGUUGUUUUCAGAAGCUACAAAAGGUCUUGAAGAACUAAGGCAUUAAACCUCAAACAAAGAUGAUGAAGUGAUCGUUGAGCAAGAACCUAAAAGAGAGAGCUGAAGAGAUCAGAGAAGAGUAGUUAAUGUUUUUGUAUACAUUGAAAAAUAAAUUUUUAUUUAAAUUAUAAAGAUUUUUGUUUAUA